rnacentral:rRNA from 1 species
UACGUAGGGUGCGAGCGUUGUCCGGAAUUACUGGGCGUAAAGAGCUCGUAGGUGGUUUGUCGCGUUGUUCGUGAAAACUCACAGCUCAACUGUGGGCGUGCGAGCGAUACGGGCAGACUAGAGUACUGCAGGGGAGACUGGAAUUCCUGGUGUAGCGGUGGAAUGCGCAGAUAUCGGGAGGAACACCGGUGGCGAAGGCGGUUCUCUGGGCCUGUACUGACGCUGAGGAGCGAAAGCGUGGGGAGCGAACAGG